rnacentral:rRNA from 1 species
GAAUGCUGACAUAAGUAACGAUAAAGCGGGUGAAAAGCCCGCUCGCCGGAAGACCAAGGGUUCCUGUCCAACGUUAAUCGGGGCAGGGUGAGUCGACCCCUAAGGCGAGGCCGAAAGGCGUAGUCGAUGGGAAACGGGUUAAUAUUCCCGUACUUGGUGUUACUGCGAAGGGGGGACGGAGAAGGCUAUGUUGGCCGGGCGACGGUUGUCCCGGUUUAAGCGUGUAGGUGUGUGUUCCAGGUAAAUCCGGUUCACUUUAACACUGAGGCGUGACGACGAGGCACUACGGUGCUGAAGCAACAAAUGCCCUGCUUCCAGGAAAAGCCUCUAAGCAUCAGGUAACACGAAAUCGUACCCCAAACCGACACAGGUGGUCAGGUAGAGAAUACCAAGGCGCUUGAGAGAACUCGGGUGAAGGAACUAGGCAAAAUGGUGCCGUAACUUCGGGAGAAGGCACGCUGACACGUAGGUGAAGUGAUUUACUCAUGGAGCUGAAGUCAGUCGAAGAUACCAGCUGGCUGCAACUGUUUAUUAAAAACACAGCACUGUGCAAACACGAAAGUGGACGUAUACGGUGUGACGCCUGCCCGGUGCCGGAAGGUUAAUUGAUGGGGUCAGCGCAAGCGAAGCUCCUGAUCGAAGCCCCGGUAAACGGCGGCCGUAACUAUAACGGUCCUAAGGUAGCGAAAUUCCUUGUCGGGUAAGUUCCGACCUGCACGAAUGGCGUAAUGAUGGCCAGGCUGUCUCCACCCGAGACUCAGUGAAAUUGAACUCGCUGUGAAGAUGCAGUGUACCCGCGGCAAGACGGAAAGACCCCGUGAACCUUUACUAUAGCUUGACACUGAACAUUGAGCCUUGAUGUGUAG